GCUCCUAUAGCUCAACAGGAUAGAGCAGUCGCCUCCUAAGCGACCGAUCGGGGUUCGAGUCCCUGUGGGAGCGCCA
rnacentral:tRNA from 1 species